GCUGAUGUCUAUGGCCGAUAUGUUGCUUCCGGUAGCCGGAACUUUAGUUACACUGGGCCGAGCCACACCUUGUCGCCAUUAAAAUGUCAUGUUAAUUUGGUUGAUUUGGUAUUGUGUAUAACUGAGAGACAUUGAGGAUUAUUCGGAUCCUACAUAAAUAUUGCCUUAUGAAUCAUGGUAUCGUUCUUACACAUACCUGCACGACUGUGGAUUAUUCUGCAAUUAAUUAAGGUCUACGGUGGAAGUAAGUUCAAGAGAUAGUACAAGAGAAGCAGAAGUAAUGGUAUAUUGUACAUUGUAAACUUCUUGUCUUUGUGUACUGCUUAUGGAAAAUACCACCAAUAUAAAAGUUUAUGAUCCUUAUGGUAUCUAAGUCUGUGCAAAAAAACCUGCAGGCAAUAAAUUCAAUUCUUCUUCAGGAUCUCAACACAUUAGAAUAUUUUUACAGGGCUUUUUCAGCCACUCUGAGGAUUAUGAUAAACACCUGAGUCCACCAACAAAGGAGAGACAAAGCAACCCAGGAUCAAUGAUGGACAUCGAACCAACCCAACAGAGCUCAGUCAGUUAGGACAUCAGGAUCACCUGGACGUCGUAGGACAUCGAGGGAUCGGACUCCGGGGUCCGAAGACUACCGGGUUCGAAGACUCCGGGGUUGGAAAACAUCGGGAUUCCCAAAAUCCUCAGGUAUGAGGACUUCGAACUUUGAAGACUUCACUUCAAAGUUUGAAGAUCCCGGGGUGUGAGGACCUCGUAAUUGGUAAGUCUGCGGGUUCAAAGACUUUGAGAUAAGAAGUCUUCCUACUUCAAAGUCUCCGAAUUUCGAAAAUCCCGGAGUUAGUAAACGCCAUUUUUUGGCGUUUUCUGAUUUCGACAAUUUUUGAAACUUUGGAAACUUUGAUGUAUGAACUUCUUAUCUUAAAUCUUUAAACUUCACAGACUUACUAAUUUCGAGAUCUUUAAAACUUGGGGUCUUUAAACUUCAAAUGUCCUCAAAAUUCGAAUGGGAAUCCCGAAGUUCUCCAAUCCUGGAAUUUUCGAACCUGGUAGUGUUCGGAUCCUGGAGCAACCAGGGGCCGGGGGAAGGGCGGCCCGGGGACGGGAGGUGGCACCCGGUGAUAACCCCGGGUGCAGGACGCGGGGAGGGGCGGUACGGCCCCUAAAGGGGUCUGGGGACGGGAGGUGGCACCCGGUGAUCACCCCGGGUGCAGGACGCGGGGUGGCACCCGGGGAUCGCCUCGGGUGCAGGACGCGAGGUGGCA